AAGGGCACCACAAGAACGCGUGGAGCAUGUGGCUUAAUUUGACUCAACGCGGGAAAUCUUACCGGGUCCGGACACACUAAGGAUUGACAGGUAAAGUAAUCAAUUCUUCUCUUUUGAAGAUUGGUUCUGCAAACAUGCUAGUCCUUUCAUGAUUGUGUGAUAGGUGGUGCAUGGCCGUUCUUAGUUCGUGGAAUAAUCUGUCUGCUUAAUUGCGUUAAUAUAUGGUGUCAGGUUCUAUUCAACCCUCAGUUUGGACGCUCAACCUUUCGGGGUGGCUCCAUUCAGAGGCUGGGGCUUGGCACUCUAUGAAACGAACGUGACCUCAACCUCUUGUUAGCAGAUGUCAUUUGAUAUAAUUUUUUAAUUUAUCAGAAAGGAUUCCGCAUACGAGGGGGAUUGCCAAGUUGAAAGUGGAUGAAAGUUGAGGCAAUAACAGGUCUGUGAUGCCCUUAGAUGUCCCGGGCUGCACACGUGCUACAAUGAUCUAUGCAGUAAGUAUCUACACAGACUCCAACCAUUUGGUUUGGAGCAAGCCUGCUUCGAAAGUAAGUAGGUAAUCAAUUCGAAGUAUAGAUUUCCUUUUUGCCGUAUGUACCUUAUUUUAUAAGGUUCUACAGCUCUUUUUCAAGACUUCAUAGUGGGGACAGACCUUUGUUAAUUGUUGGUCUCGUUUUCAACUAGGAAUGCCUUGUACGGGUCUUUGGUUCAACAAACCACCCGGAAUACGUCCCUGCCCUUUGUACACACCGCCCGUCGCUCUUACCGAUGGACUUUUCUGUGAGUUUGAGGGACCCGGGUUUUUUACUCUUAGUUUUAUUUAUAUCUUAUAUUAAUAUUACACAAAGAAGUAUGAAUUUCCGGGAAACUCAAGCGAACAGCCGGGUCUAAAGGAAAGAGAAGUCGUAACAAGGCAUCUGUAGGUGAACCU
rnacentral:rRNA from 1 species